rnacentral:rRNA from 1 species
UCCGGUUGAUCCUGCCGGACCCCACUGCCAUCGGGAUAGGACUAAGACAUGCUAGUCGAGUGACUCAGGCAAAACAAGUCACGGCACACAGCUCAGUAACACGUGGCUAAUCUGCCCUUGGGACUAGAACAACCCCGGGAAACUGGGGCUAACUCUAGAUAGGUGAAGAACUCUGGAAUGAGUCUUUGCCUAAAUAGGUUCACGUUAUCCUCGUGAACUUGCCCAAGGAUGAGGCCGCGACCGAUCAGGUUGUUGGCGAGGUAAUGGCUCACCAAGCCUUUUACCGGUGCGGGCCGUGGGAGCGGGAGCCCGGAGAUGGGUACUGAGACAAGGACCCAGGCCCUACGGGGCGCAGCAGUCGCGAAACCUUUGCAAUACACGAAAGUGUGACAGGGCUAUCCCGAGUGCCAUCCGCUGAGGAAGGCUUUUACCCAGUCUAGAACGCUGGGGGAAUAAGGAGAGGGCAAGUCUGGUGUCAGCCGCCGCGGUAAUACCAGCUCUCCGAGUGGUGUGGAUGUUUAUUGGGCCUAAAGCAUCCGUAGCUGGCUAGGUAAGUCCCUUGUUAAAUCCACCGAAUUAAUCGUUGGAUCGCGGGGGAUACUGCUUGGCUAGGGGACGAGAGAGGCAGACGGUAUUCUCGGGGUAGGGGUGAAAUCCUAUAAUCCCGGGAAGACCACCAGUGGCGAAGGCUGUCUGCUAGAACGCGCCCGACGGUGAGGGAUGAAAGCUGGGGGAGCGAACCGGAUUAGAUACCCGGGUAGUCCCAGCUGUAAACGAUGCAGACA